CCUAGCCUCAAGCGAUCCUCCCACCUUGGCCUCCCAAAGUGCUAGGAUUAUAGGUGUGAGCCAUCUCACCCAGCAGAUAUUUAUCUUUUGAUUAUGGUUUUAAAAGAGCCCUUUAACUUUUAGAAAUACAUGGUAAGAUAUUUUCAUAUGCAAUGGUGUGCCGUCAAGGAUUUGCUUGAAAAUAACAUAGUUUAGGAAGGAGGCAGCAGAGGAAGUAUUCAUGCAACAGGAUUGACUGUAAGUUAAUUAUUACUGAAGCUAAGUGAUAGACACAUGAGGGUUUAUUAUAGUAUUCCUUACUUUUGUAUGUCUUUAAAUAAUUUUAUAACAAUGAGUUGAAAAUAUAAGGGCUCUAGGAACUAACAUUCUCCAAAUGCUUAAUGUUUAUUUCUAGAAGUUAAAAGUAUAUGCACAUUAUUCUGUCCAUAUUCCUGUUCCAUUGUCUAAGAUCAUUUUGUAUGUUCCAAAUGUUAUCAAAGAAAAUUUGGCAAUACCUGCUUGGUCUCUUUAAUGAUUAAACAGUAGAACUGAACUCUCCAUGGACCUAGUACAGCCAUAAAUGAGACCAUAAAAGAAAAGAUAGGUUGGUUUUGCCUUCAAUUUGUGAACGCAGCUUUUUAAGUAAGUACUAUCUUAAAAUAACUUCCUUUGUGGAUCACACUUGGGGCAUAUAAAAUGAUGAAAUAACAAUCCUUAAGCCACUUCAACUGGGCUAGGGAGGGGUGUUAUAGUAUACUAUAGCAAAUGCCAUAAAAUCAAUGACUUUUGCUGUGUGGUACAGGACAGAGACUUUUUAUGUCUUUCUUAACCUGAACGGUGCUCUUUUCCUGCCCCCUCUUACACGUAGAGUCCUCUAGAUGCCUUCCCCUACCUCCACAUCGGGGGAGAGAAGAGAGUGAAGGUCCAUCACUGUACUGAAGCAAUACAAGCUUGGGAGGUCCUGCAAGGCCAGUGUGGCUGGAGAACAGAGAACAAAGCCAGGAGGGGCAGGAGAUGGGGCUAACCAGAGAAUUAGGAGUCAGAUCUCCUGGGAACCAUGGCCUACAGGACCUCUUUUGACCUGAGAACAUUUUGCCAUAAGUGACAUAUCUGCAAGGACCCCAUAGCACAGAAGCCAGGAUGGGGGACCUAGGCAAUGUUGUUGGUAAGGUCCAAAGUGAGGCUGAAGGGACCGUGGCUUCCUGCCGACGUUCACAUGCUGGGCUUAGCAAUCAGAAGGACAGUUUUGGACAUCCAGGAGUGAACCAAGAUAAAGAAUAUAGGUCCAAGAGACCGCUUCCUGAGAAAACCAGCCACGUCUGUGAUUCCUGAAGCGGGUCGUUUGUCCGAGUGUGGCGGUGAAAUGUAUCCCCCGAGGCCUGCAGGGGGAGGUGAGAGGGAGCGGGUGCUGUCAGCGCACAUGCGUUGCCACUUAGAGCUGCCCAGGGAGCAAUUACAACACACACACCUGCAAACAACGGGGCUGGCCUGUGCUCACGAGUGCAGUAAGACAUGCAGCAGCACCAGGGCUUGUGUCCCUUGCCGUGGAACCCUCCCAGGUGGGACACUGUGUCACUUCGAGUGAAGGCCUUUCCAAAGUGCCUGGGGAGCUUGCUCCAUCUUCAAGCCCUUAGCUAGGAACUUGGUCCACUGGGGACUGGUGAUCCGCCUUAGGGACUGGAGAUACCUACAGGCAACACCAACUGAGCAUUUGAGUGUGAGAAAAAAAAACAAAAAAACACUUAGGUUUUCUGCUCAUCUGGGAUGACACUCUUACCUACAAGUCAGCAGCUUAGGCAGCGAAGCUUAAGAAGAGACUCCAUAAUCAUUCUGUAGAAUCACCGUGUUCUCGGCGAGGGAGAGAAAAAAAGAGGAUUUUAAAAAACGCCCCCCAGAAAAUAAAAGUUGUUGGUAGUUCUUCCCCAAGGCAAAACCCACGGCUUGUACAAAGCGGGUUGUUUCAUGCACACAUUCGAUAGUGCAGCUUUGAUGUCGGCUGCACGGUAGGCACCGCGCCACGUGCAGGGGGGACGCAGGGAUGACACCGAAUGCGGUGAGGCCACCCAGGCGUCCUGCAGGAAUGGCUCGUUAACCUGCACUUUGACUGGCCUCUCUUCUCUUGGCUCCCCACACCCCUGGCCUUUUACAGCACUGGCAUUUGGAAAUGCAAGAAACCUAAUGCCCGAGGAUGGAGGAAAGUCAGGAGCCAGUUUUUCACCUCUAUUUUGUCCCCCAGAACCAGUUCUGCUGAGAGCCACCCUAAGCCAUUGCGAUGAUGGGAAACCUCAACUCAGAGCAUGCUUGUCACAAGCAGUCUGAUAAUCCACUUCAAAGGACAGACGCCCUCAGGGCCGUGCACAUGAUGGGAACCUUGUGGUCCCGGCCACCGGGCUGUGCUGUUGCUGUGGCUGCCUUUCCAUUCCACAACCCAUGUGGUCGUGCAAUUAUCUUUCCCCGUCACUCUUGGUCCAGGGGCUGUCUCCAUUUCCUGACACUGUCCCUGUUUCUUUCUCACAAGACCUGAUUCCUCAGACCCUCUUCGGAGCCUGUCAGCUUUGAACAGGACCUACCGGCUGCGCGGAAGAAAGGGGAGGAUAAAAGUUAGAGAACUGCUGAUUUCUUCAGAAGUCAUCCAAGUCCUCUUUGAUUUCUUAAGAGAAUUUCAGCAAAUGCAUACAUUUGUUUUAAGCGUAUUUUUUAAAAGGCUUCUUUUGCAGAUCAGCAUGUCAUCCUAUAAUCUCAUUUUUGCCCCAUGGCACAGGGCAAGGAAUGGGAAAAUGACUAUUCAGCCAUAAAGUGGGACAAAGGGAGAAUGCAAAAGUUCACUCCCUUCACCUCAUUAGCUUUUUUCUAGUUCAUAUUAUAUUUGGAAGCCAUCAUAGGGUCUGUAUGAAUUUCAAAGAAUGCAUGAGACUUGGUCUCUGAUCUCUGAUUAUUAUUUUUAUUUACUUUGUUAAAUAUUUUGAAAAGCCAAUAUUGUACCAUUCUGUAAAUUUAGAAAAUGGGAUGGGAAAUAAUGCAAAAGUUCACCCAACAUGCUCUGCAGAAUGCCUGCCAAUCUUUUCAUCUUUGUAUAUUUCUUUUCCCACCACGGGAAAAUUUGAACACCCUUUCUAUAUCAAAUAUUCAGAGUUGCUUUUCUGUGUGUUGCUUGUUCAUACCCUUUGCUCACUUUUCUACUGGGUUGUAUGUCUUAUGUUUUUCUACAUAAAAGUUUUAAAAUGUCAUGUAAAUAUAUCCAUUUUUCCUUAACAGCUUCUGGCUAUCCUACUUUGGUUAAGAAGGUACUCCCAAUUUUACAUGGGAUCUCUUAGACUUUUUUGUGAUGGUUUUUAUUUAAAUGUUUAACAUUUCAGUCUUUAGUCCUCCUGGAAUUUAAACUUCCAUAUGAUUUAAACACUGUCGAGAUGUGCAUUGCUUAGGAUGUAGUUUCAGAUGCUGAAAUAAUGAGAGACAAAGUAACUGACUUGAACAAGAUAGGAGUUUUGGUUUAGUUUGCUUUUUUCUUACCAAAAAAAAAAAAAAAAAAAGCCUACCAGUCCAGGGUCUGCCAACUUUAUGAUAGCAGAUCCAGGUGACACCUUCCCUUUUUUGUUUUAGCAUCUACCCAGUGCAAGAUGGUGCGCUACUCAUCUACAUUCCAGUAGAAAAGGGAACAUGAGCAAGGAGAGGUCAACCCCUACCUCUUUUUUUAAGAGUGGAAGUUGCACGUACCACUUCUGUUUGCGUCUCUUCGGCCUGAACUUGAUCACAUGAGAACACCCGGUUGCAAGGGAAGCGAAGGAAGCUGGCAGACACAGUUGUAUUACGAGUAGCUGGGCAUUCUCACCAAGAAAGAGAGAGAGAAUGGAGACUUGAGGAUAAAACAUUCACUACCACAGAAUUCUAACUGGAAUUACAUUAGCCAUGUACUGUAAAAUGGGAAGGGUAUACAUUUUAUGAGAUCUAAUUUUCUGAUUCAAAAAACUUUAUGCCUUCUCACUGUUCAGUGUUAUGGAAAGAAUGUGUGUGUCCCCCUAAAAUUCUUAUGUUGAAACCCCACCCUACAAUGUGAUGGUAUUAAGAGGUAGGGCCUUUGGGAGGUGAUUAGGAUUAAAUGAGGUCGUGAGGAUGGAGUCCCCGAGAAGGGAUUAGCUUCUUUCUAAGUGUCCCGAGAGAGCUCACUCUGCCCCGCUGGAUGAGAAGGCAGCCACCUGCAGUCUGGAAGAGAGUCCUCACCGGAAUUGACCACACUCACAACCUAAUCUCACACUGCCAGCCUCUGGAACUGUAAGAAAUAAAUGUCUGUUGUUAAACCA